CACCCAGGGCGGUAUAGCGUUUUUUGCCUACCGUUCCUUUUUAUAUAUUGUGGGUGCCUGGCUUACGUGCCGGCACCCACCGGGUUUCAAAAUUAUUAUUUAUUUUCAAGUUCUAUGUUACUUUUAGAGGAAGUCACGGCCAAUAGCAAGAGGACCCCUCCAACAAAUUUUCGUUGUAUUGUUUUUUGUUCUUUCCUUUUAGUUCUGGCACGAAUACGUAUUUAACGGUUCUUGCCGGAUUCAAGGGUUGGGAAGGCCAAUAACACGCUGCAGCUUGCUGCACUGCCCUUUUCAUCCGGCAAGCCUUCUUCCUCCCAAAAAAAGACGUACACUGGGGUCCUCUUUUUUACUACCGCCUUCGGCGGAAAUCUCUUGUACUAGCCAAAUGCCUCGUCAUCUAAUUAGUGACGCGCAUGAAUGGAUUAACGAGAUUCCCACUGUCCCUAUCUA
rnacentral:ncRNA from 1 species